rnacentral:rRNA from 1 species
GACGAACGCUGGCGGUGUGCUUCACACAUGCAAGUCGAACGGGGUAGCAAUACCCAGUGGCGGACGGGUGAGUAACACGUGGGAAUCUUACCAUUAGAUGGGGAAGUAACAGGCCGAAAGGACUGCUAAUGCCGCAUAUGUAUGUGCCUCGACAGGGGCGUAUAUGAAAGGAGUAAUCCGUCUGAUGAUGAGCCCGCGUCCGA